UCUUUAUGGCGGGGUCGCGGUGCCUGGGGCGACUCAGGACGACAAGGGAAGCCGGUGAAAAUCCGGCGCUACCCCCGUAGCUGUGAGCGGUGAGCAAGACCGAAAAUCCCACUGGGGCGCUGCCCUGGGAAGGGCGGUUGCGUGUUGACCUGCAAGCCAGAAGACCUGCCGCGACAGGAACGACCAA
rnacentral:ncRNA from 2 species